rnacentral:rRNA from 1 species
AUGAACGCUGGCGGCGUGCCUAAUACAUGCAAGUCGAGCGAACAGAUGAGGAGCUUGCUCCUCUGACGUUAGCGGCGGACGGGUGAGUAACACGUGGAUAACCUACCUAUAAGACUGGGAUAACUUCGGGAAACCGGAGCUAAUACCGGAUAAUAUAUUGAACCGCAUGGUUCAAUAGUGAAAGACGGUUUUGCUGUCAAUUAUAGAUGGAUCCGCGCCGCAUUAGCUAGUUGGUAAGGUAACGGCUUACCAAGGCAACGAUGCGUAGCCGACCUGAGAGGGUGAUCGGCCACACUGGAACUGAGACACGGUCCAGACUCCUACGGGAGGCAGCAGUAGGGAAUCUUCCGCAAUGGGCGAAAGCCUGACGGAGCAACGCCGCGUGAGUGAUGAAGGUCUUCGGAUCGUAAAACUCUGUUAUUAGGGAAGAACAAAUGUGUAAGUAACUAUGCACGUCUUGACGGUACCUAAUCAGAAAGCCACGGCUAACUACGUG